UACGGGGGGGGGCAAGCGUUGUUCGGAAUUACUGGGCGUAAAGGGCUCGUAGGCGGCCAACUAAGUCGGAUGUGAAAUCCCCAGGCUUAACCUGGGAACUGCAUCCGAUACUGGAUGGCUUGAAUCCGGGAGAGGGAUGCAGAAUUCCAGGUGUAGCGGUGAAAUGCGUAGAUAUCUGGAGGAAUACCGGUGGCGAAGGCGGCAUCCUGGACCGGCAUUGACGCUGAGGAGCGAAAGCUAGGGGAGCAAACGGGG
rnacentral:rRNA from 1 species